rnacentral:rRNA from 1 species
UGCAAGUCGAGCGGUAGAGAGAAGCUUGCUUCUCUUGAGAGCGGCGGACGGGUGAGUAAUGCCUAGGAAUCUGCCUGGUAGUGGGGGAUAACGUUCGGAAACGGACGCUAAUACCGCAUACGUCCUACGGGAGAAAGCAGGGGACCUUCGGGCCUUGCGCUAUCAGAUGAGCCUAGGUCGGAUUAGCUAGUUGGUGAGGUAAUGGCUCACCAAGGCGACGAUCCGUAACUGGUCUGAGAGGAUGAUCAGUCACACUGGAACUGAGACACGGUCCAGACUCCUACGGGAGGCAGCAGUGGGGAAUUUUGGACAAUGGGCGAAAGCCUGAUCCAGCAAUGCCGCGUGAGUGAAGAAGGCCUUCGGGUUGUAAAGCUCUUUUGUCAGGGAAGAAACGGUGAAGGCUAAUAUCCUUUGCUAAUGACGGUACCUGAAGAAUAAGCACCGGCUAACUACGUGCCAGCAGCCGCGGUAAU